rnacentral:pre_miRNA from 1 species
AGCAUUCUAUAUCCGUGCUGAGAUUUCGUCAGUAAUCAGUCCAUUGAGGCAGAUGCAACUUCUAAAAUAUGUGAUGAA